rnacentral:rRNA from 1 species
AUUCCCUACGGGGGACAGCAGUGGGGAAUAUUGCACAAUGGGGGAAACCCUGAUGCAGCGACGCCGCGUGAGUGAAGAAGUAUUUCGGUAUGUAAAGCUCUGUCAGCAGGGAAGAAAAUGACGGUACCUGACCAAGAAGCCGCGGCUAACUACGUGCCAGCAGCCGCGGUAAUACGUAGGGGGCAAGCGUUGUCCGGAUUUACUGGGUGUAAAGGGCGUGCAGCCGGGCUGACAAGUCAGAUGUGAAAUCCCGCGGCUCAACCGCGGAACUGCAUUUGAAACUGUCAUUCUUGAGUACCGGAGAG